UGAGUUGAACUCAGCUCUGUUUUUCCCUA
rnacentral:piRNA from 1 species